AAUAAAGUCACUGCUGUGAUGAAGUCCUGACCUUCAGUUCUGCAAGUCGGCUGUCCUUGACAGAGCUCCGGCUACAACUAAACCCACUGAUCCAUGUGGGAGGAGUAACAACAUUUAAGUCACGCGAAAAUCUCGGAAGUCUCAGAUCAGAAGUCAGGCUUUUGCCAAGAGCACGUACCUACUUGCAUGAGCUAGAAGGAGGUGGCUGCUGGAGCAUGAACGCACAACCCCUGGGGGCCUGGCAGAAAGGCGGUCUCGGGAGCGGAGCGGUCCGUUUGCAAAGCCCCCCAGGGGUGGGUGAGCGAGUGCGCUCCUGCAGCAGACGGAGGCUUUCGGGAUGCGCUACUUUCCUUCAGUAGAAAGCAACUGGCUCCUUCCUCUUCUGUAUUCCUUGACCGGAUUUCCUCAGGCCUUAAAAGGUGGAGGAGGGGGGGAAAAAAAAAAAAAGGAAGAAUUAGAAGAGCCUGAAAGAUGGAAAACACAUCUUGGAUUUGUGUUUAGGAAAACUGUGACAGUACCUGCUGGAGUUCACUAAUCUCAUGGCGUAAAUAAUCCUCUUUUCUGGCAGCCGCCUGUUCUGCACGUUGCAGUGCCAACCUAAGGUCUCCAACCUAUAUGAGGAGAACCAAUACAAUCACAAACAGUAUCAAAACACUAAUUAUAGUUUCCUAACUACAUACUGUGUUGUCAACACAAUAGGUUUAUGUAUAUUUACACUAUCCAAUGAGCUUUUACAUGAUUAUCACACAUACCAUUUACCAAGUAAUUCUAAACUGAACGUCUGUAUACUUAAUAUAUACUUAGAAAAGCAUUGUUAGACCAAAAAAAAAAAAAAA